UACGUAGGGUGCGAGCGUUAAUCGGAAUUACUGGGCGUAAAGCGUGCGCAGGCGGUUUGCUAAGACCGAUGUGAAAUCCCCGGGCUUAACCUGGGAACUGCAUUGGUGACUGGCAGGCUAGAGUAUGGCAGAGGGGGGUAGAAUUCCACGUGUAGCAGUGAAAUGCGUAGAGAUGUGGAGGAAUACCGAUGGCGAAGGCAGCCCCCUGGGCCAAUACUGACGCUCAUGCACGAAAGCGUGGGGAGCAAACAGG
rnacentral:rRNA from 1 species